AAAAAAUCUGCCCUGGAUGCCCUCCCUGGGAAGGGAGAGGGAGUGAGGACCGGGUGUGAGGCAGGAGGGAAGGAGAGGAGAAAAUUCCCUCCGAGGGCUGCGACUGCCAACGAUCCCAGACUGUUCCCAGACCUUGUCCUGGAAGCUCCCGGUUCUCUCCCGACCCUGCUGGGAGCAGCGAGGACGAGGUUCCUUUUUCCUCCCAUCCCCUUUCCCUGCCUCCCAGGAAAAGGUGGCUUCCCAAGGGGAAAACCCCACCGGACUCAGAACAAAUCCAACUCAGCACUAUUUUUGUUUUCCAAGGAAUGUAGCAUCUUCUCUUAUGUAGCUUUGCCACGUGCUAACAACACACUCACUGCAAUAUCCAAGAGAACUCCGGAUGGACCGGGAACAUCUGCCAGUCUCAUCCCGUUUGGUCGCUUUCCCAGCACUUUUGGUGGCCAUUUCCCUGCCUUUUUUUGUCGUUUUCCCCCCAAUUUUGGUGGGUUUUUUUUUGGGUUUUCCCGGGAGCAUGUAGCCUGUGACCAUUGCCAAAGCAAGAGGGGACAGGGGAAGGGGCGCUCGCCUCCCCUGGGCGUCCGCCGGGCUUCUCCUCGUGUCCCACCGCUGACCGCGCGCGCGUCCGGCCGAAACCAGACCCGAAGGACAGACAAACUCCGGGAAUGCCUCGUGGGAGGUGGGAGAAGGCGACCCAACGGAGCGGGAAUACCGGGAUCCUGGCGGAUCGGCUGCCUCCCAGCCCCUUCCUUCCCAGCUGGAGGGCCAGGAUGCUCUCCUUGAGGUCUGGAAUGCUCUCCUCCUUGGAGCUGAGAUGUCCUUCUUGAGGUCUGGAAUGCUCUUCUUGGAGCUGGGAUGUCCUCCUUGGAAUUGAGAUGUUUUCCUUGAGGUCUGGAAUGCUCUCCUUGGAGCUGAGAUGUUCUCCUUGAGGUCUGGAAUGCUCUCCUGGGAGCUGGGACAUCCUCCUUGAGGUCUGGAAUGCUCUCCUGGGAGCUGAGAUGUCCUUGAGGUCUAGAAUGCUCUCCUUGGAGCUGAGAUGUCCUCCUUGAGGUCUGAAACGCUCUCCUCCUUGGAGCUGGGAUGUCCUCCUUGGAAUUGAGAUGUUCUCCUAGAGGUCUGGAACGCUCUCCUCGGAUCUCAGAUGUCCUCCUUGAGGUCUGGC
rnacentral:lncRNA from 1 species